CCUACGGGAGGCAGCAGUGGGGAAUAUUGCACAAUGGGCGGAAGCCUGAUGCAGCGACGCCGCGUGAGGGAUGAAGGCCUUCGGGUUGUAAACCUCUUUCAGCAGGGACGAAGCGUGAGUGACGGUACCUGCAGAAGAAGCACCGGCUAACUACGUGCCAGCAGCCGCGGUAAUACGUAGGGUGCGAGCGUUGUCCGGAAUUACUGGGCGUAAAGAGUUCGUAGGCGGUUUGUCGCGUCGUUUGUGAAAACCCGGGGCUCAACUUCGGGCUUGCUAGGCGAUACGGGCAGACUUGAGUGUUUCAGGGGAGACUGGGAAUUCCUGGUGUAGCGGUGAAAUGCGCAGAUAUCAGGAGGAACACCGGUGGCGAAGGCGGGUCUCUGGGAAACAACUGACGCUGAGGAACGAAAGCGUGGGUAGCAAACAGGAAUUAGAUACCCGUGGUAGUCCACGCCGUAAACGGUGGGCGCUAGGUGUGGGUUCCUUCCACGGGAUCUGUGCCGUAGCUAACGCAUUAAGCGCCCGCCUGGGGAGUCGGCCGCAAGGCAAAACUCAAAUGAAUUGACGG
rnacentral:rRNA from 1 species